UACGUAGGGUGCGAGCGUUAAUCGGAAUUACUGGGCGUAAAGCGUGCGCAGGCGGCUUUGCAAGACAGAUGUGAAAUCCCCGGGCUCAACCUGGGAACUGCAUUUGUGACUGCAAGGCUAGAGUACGGCAGAGGGGGAUGGAAUUCCGCGUGUAGCAGUGAAAUGCGUAGAUAUGCGGAGGAACACCAAUGGCGAAGGCAAUCCCCAGGGCCUGUACUGACGCUCAUGCACGAAAGCGUGGGGAGCAAACAGG
rnacentral:rRNA from 1 species